rnacentral:rRNA from 1 species
UACAGAGGUCUCAAGCGUUGUUCGGAUUCAUUGGGCGUAAAGGGUGUGUAGGUGGCGCGCUAAGUCGGGUGUGAAAUUUCGGAGCUUAACUCCGAAACUGCAUUCGAUACUGGCGUGCUUGAGGACUGGAGAGGAGACUGGAAUUCAUGGUGUAGCAGUGAAAUGCGUAGAGAUCAUGAGGAAGACCAGUGGCGAAGGCGGCACCCUGGCCUAAUACUGACACUGAGACGCGAAAGCAUGGGGAGCGAACGGG